AAAAUCAGUUAUAAAAAGUAUCGGUGUUUGGGCCCCAUCUCCGACCAAUUAAGUCGGGACCUACCCUCUCUGAAGGGGCCCCCAGGUGGUGGGGAGCCACCACUUUAGAGAAUGACCAGUCAUAAAUUGCAAGUAGAGGUGGGACAGCCGUGGGGGGGAGGGGACAAGGGGUGGCACCAGACACAGCCAUUGAUAGAUAUUCCUUUGUCCAAUUCCUGUUUCAGUCCUGAGAGUAACAACUAUUGCCCUAUAAAGCUCUAGCAAACGAGAGUUGUUAUUAUUAAACAAAUCUGGGCUCUUCCAAACCUGAGAGGAGGCUGCAGACCCUGAAGACGGCAGAUGGGCUGUGCGAGGGCAUUUGGGGACCAUGACGGUUCUUUGCUCUGCCAGUCCUUCCUGAUGCUCUCCCUCCACUGGCUCCUCUCCACCGAUUCUGCCUGACUCAGGCCUUGAUUUUUCCUGCCUGGCCUCAGCCCACCCACCCACUGUCAGCUCUGGUGCCCCGCACCCCAGACCUCACCAAGUCCCUUCUCUGCCUAAGAGAACAAAGCCUGCGCCCCUUGCCCUGGCCUUUGAGUCCUUCGAAAUCUAGUCCUCACCCUCUGGUCACCCUCUUCCUUCGCACACCAGACCUGACCUUCCAGGUAAGGCAAGGACACCCCCAAGCCACCUGUGGUUCCCACUCCAUUGCCCUUGCUUGGGCUGUGCCUAACACAUCCCCCUCUGUUCUACACUCUUAGAACUCCUUCUCAUCCCUCAAGGCCCAGAGCGAGUGCUUCCUCUUCCAGGAAGCUUGCCCAGAUUCUUCUGAGAAGUGUUCCGACACUAGAACUUCUCCCUCUGGGCUGUGGUCAGUAGUUCAUGUGUGGACAUGACCCCAGAUCCUCUUCCCCAAGGCUAGUGCCUUAUGCAAAGAGAAGGCCCAGUGAAAGUUAACCGCGCUGGUGCCCAAUGUCUCCAGAAUGGUAGGGUGUGGCAAACCCUCUUGACGGCCCGCCCAACAGCCAUUUCUCCCAUCUUCUCUGCCAGCAGACCCUGGCUUUGCUCAGCAACAGCGUGCCCUCUCCCAUGGAUGAAGCAUGAUUGUUCCAAGCCAAGUGGGACAAUCUUGCUGUCCCCUUGGCCAGUGACCAGUUUAAGAGUGGACAUGUAGCUCAGUUUUGUCCAAAGAGACAUAAAGGAAAUUCUGCUGGGGUCUCCUAGGAAGGACUCUCCUUUUCCUAAUACAAGGGAAAGCUGUGAAGGAAAUGACUCCUCACCCAACUCCUGCUUUGUACUUAGAGGACUUGAUGCUUGGAGCAGUGGCAGCCAUCUUGUAACCAUGAGGGGGACAGUGUUGAUACAAUGAGUUUGACAGAGUUAAUGAUAGGUCUUCUGGGUCCUUCGUUAUAUUCUAGAGCUGCUAAACCCAUGCUGAGUCUGCCCACCCGGGCCUGCUUGUUAGGUAAAGACAGAAGAUCCUUAUGGUUUAAGCCAGUGUUAGUUAACACAUAACGUAUAUAACAGUGACUAUUACAUGCAGUCAAAACUGUCAUAACGCAUGGUUCUCAGGCCUGGCUGAGAGUCCCGAAAACAGACCAAGGCCCUGGUCCCACCCAGACCACGAACUUGAAGCCACCAGGGCUGAGGCCCAGGCACGGCCGUGUCCAGGGCUUCCCUGACAAUAUGAGCAUGCAGCCAGGGCUGAGAGCCACUGCUCCAGAUCCGUAUUCGGGCGGCUGCCCUGUGUUCCACACCAAAAUCAUUUGUGCCUGAUGUUUGGGGUGUUGUUAUUAUUAUUAUUUUGCAGCAGUAGCAUCACCAACGUCACUUUGGUUUAUUAUGAACAGAGCCCAAGACUGGGGAUCAAGAGAUGAGUUCACGUCCCAGCUCAGCCUCAGGCACCUCUCUUCCUUCUUGGGCCCUGGGUUUUUCCAUCCAUUAAAUGGGAGGAUGGACAAGGGCCCUGCCAUCCUGACAGGGGGCACCAUGAAGCUGGGUGGUCCCACCCCAGCUGUUCAGGUCUGGCUUCCUGCCCCGUCCCUGCUUCCCUGUGGCUGAGGUCCCUGCAGGUCUGGUGGGCCCAGGUCGGCCUUCAGGGGGGUGGGGAGGGGGCUCUGCCCAGUGAGGAAGGACACCCUCAGCUUCUCCAGGGCCAGGGUCUGGCUCUAUCCCCCAGCUGGCAUAAGGCAGGGCUCAGUGCAUAGGGUGCUACACUGACCGGAAGGGUGGAUGCCCAGUGCCUGGCCCAGCAUCAAGGUGCCCCCAUCUGAGGGCAUCUGCUCCAGGACAGGGGAGAAGGGGGACGAACACUGGACUCAGAGUCAGAGGCCUGGCUUAGAGUCUCCAUGCUGAUGCUGGAGUGCUUUGUGACCUCAGCCAAGUCCCUGUCCCUCUCUGGGCUUAGUUUUCCCAUUGCAAAAGGUGGGUUUUGGCCACAAGUUUUCCAAGGGCUCUUCUAGUUCUAAAGCUCUACAACUCAGUGAGAUGUUUGGUUUAGCCCUGUGCUAUUGAACUUCAAACUGUCUGUCCUGGGGGUCCCCUAUGCCCACCUUAACAGGUCCACCAUAUGUAAAGAGCUUAGUGUUGGUCAUGGGGGAAUAGGGACCUGGACGGGAGUGGAAGGAUCUCAGAUCUGGAUGUCAGGAAUCCUAGGAUCUAGUUUCACUUCUGAAACUUACUAGCUGUGUGACCUUGGUCAAGCCACUUCCCCUUCCUGGGCCUUGGUUCCUUUAUCAGUGAAAAUGGGAGCUUGACAACCCUCCUCGCCAUGUUGUAGGAGCAACACAUGGGCUGGGGCAUGCACGGGCAGCUUGUGAGGGGUAGAGCAAGCAUUGACCGGGAUCCUUCCAGCCCCUCACCCAAGGUGGCUGUCGGCCCUGCGGCCUGGCGUGGGCUGAUCGGAGGCGUGUGGACAGCUCCCGGCUACCGUGCCUCUUCCCAGCCCAGGCACCUAUGGGACGCGAGGGCAGCCAGGUGACGUCCCCUGGAACCGCCAACCUCCUGCAGCUAACUCAGACUCACCAGCCCUCCCCCUUGGGUAGACCACGUCCGCAGACUUUUCCAUUUGUCGCUUAUUUCAUGGCGUUGCCGUGACAACAGCCCCCAGAAGGCAAGAACAUUUUUUGUUGAAUUAACUUAUUAAUUCUUCAGCACUCCUGCUCCUUCCAAAAGGACUUGAUGCCACCACGUGAUUGCUCCCAUUUCACAGAUGAGACAGUCAGGGCAAGAGGAGGGUUCGCUCCACACACAUGGGUUCUGAGCAGACAGGGGCGACCUUGCCGUCCUGGUCCAGCCUGUGCAGCGAGCACCACACCAGGCCCUCGGCCCACGCAGACGAAGGCACACACGGAUGAGUGAGGUGAGGGCUGACUUUGAAGGGACCGUGAGGGAGAGGGUCUCUGCCUCUGAGACGGCGAACUCCCGCCCUCCACUGUGGGCAGUGAUGUCUCUUGCUUUUCCCGCUGAGAUCCACAACCUCUGAGGGUCCCCGGGUGAGUCACCCGUCUUUAGAACCUUCACGUGCAAAAUGGAGAUGCUAGUGAAUACCAUUCUUAAGGGCUUGGUGGUAGAACCCAGAGGGCUCCGUGCUGGGCCUGGCCAUUAGCAAGUGCGUGGUCCAGGCUGCUUCAGGAGGGGAGCCCUCCAUUCCCAGACCUGUGCAAUUACAGGUUGGGACGCCUCCCAGGGACACUGGGGGCACAUCCCUGGGGGCUGGUGGGGCGGCUCAGCCUUAGCAUGAGGGGGCAGUUAUGAAGCAGCCGGGGGGGUCAGCUUGACCAGGUUCAACUCACAGCUUUGCCAGUUAUUAGCUAGGAAAACUCCUAGAAUCUCUAUUUCUCUACCUAAAAUUGACCUAAUAAAAGUUCCUGUUUCAUGGUGGGGGCGUGGGGGGGCUGGGGGGAGAGAUCCAGGCUGAUGCCCUGCCCCUCUUUCACGUCAGUUUCCCCUCACGGUGCUGCUGCCCAGCUUGAUUUCUGAGGCCUUUGGCUGGGGGCUGGGCCAGCUUCUAGGCCUGAGUCCUGGAGACAGGCCAGCUGUCUCCAGGGAGCCUCUGGGAGGCUGAUUGGGAUAAAAAAUAGCCCUUUCCCAGGGCAGGCGGGAGUGCGUGGGCCUUCUCGGUCAAGCCAGGGGCCUGCAGAGGGAGCAGUGUGCGAGGGUGACCAAGCCAAGGCCAGCUUGGAACUGGGGAGACCGGACCCCCUGGGGCCUCCAGGGCUCUUUUUUGCCUCCUUUGCAGCGCCCCAAAUAUUGGCCCCAGGGCAGCGGCCUCCUCUUCCAGGUGGCGUCAGUAAAGCGGGGCUAGCUGCUGUGGCAGGGUUCCUUGAGCUAACACAUGCAAAGCACUCAGCACGGUGCCUGCUCCAUCCACAGCCAGUGUUCUUCUAACUUGGGCCUCAGUUUCUACAUCUGUGAAGUGGGCGCAGAAACCCGGGUCCUCGCAGGGCUGUGGCGAGGAUUGAACAACAGCAUUUGGAAAGUGGUCCUUCCCGCCCCCUCCCCCCACUUCUUUCCCCUCCCCACAAUCCAGGCUCACCAACAUCCAGGGGCUGCCUAGGAGCUGGGGGGGCGUCUCUGUGGCUGUCUGGGGGCUGCAGUGGGAGGAGUGGCUCCCUGACUGUCUUAUCAGGAAAUCUGGGGGUGGGGGCAGGGCUGGGAAGGUGGAGGGCAAGAGGAAGGGCUGGCGGCCGUCCUCUAGCACCCCAAGCUCCCUUCAGCCAGAGGCUCAGUCGGGAGUGGGGAGUGCGACCCUGGACAAGCCACCUCCUGUCCUCAGGCUGUUGUAGAUGGAGCCCACAUUGCCACUGAUCUGCCUUCCCUUCCCUGUGCCAUCACCUGGCUAGUCCUCCAUCCAGACACAGUUCCUAGAUCUCCUCCACCAGGAAGCCUUCUGGAUCUGACGGCCACGGCAUUUGAGCUGCCUCCAAGUGCACCCCUCACCGUUCUGUUGCUCUGACUGCCUGCUAUGGGCCUGUGUCCCUGGAGAAUCCGGAAACUUCUGAAGAGCAGGACUGUGUCAUUCGUGUCGCAACCCCAGGACACAACCCAAGGCCAGGUACACAGUAGGUGUUUAAUAAGUGCUGCCUGGACAGGCGAAUGAAUGAUAGGGUCAAACCUUGGAAGCAUAGCUCUUACUGAGAAGAUAAUUGCGUGGUAGAUGGUGGAGCUGCUGGUCUCCGACUGCCUGAGUUCAACCCUGGCUCUGCCACCUACAGGCCAUGUGAUGGGGAGCAGGUCACUGCCACCCUCGGUGCCUCACUUUACCCAUCUGUAAAAUGGAGAUAAUAAUAGUAUCGAGCCUGUGGAGGUGUUAGAUUAAAUGUGGUAAUGUAUAUAAAUGGGGAGCAGGGCGCCCGGCACACAGCCAGUGACCCACGAAAGCCUGCUCACAUUAUUCUACGGCUCCCAAAAUGCCGCUGUUCUCUGCUCUGACCCACCCUGCUGGGACACUGUGCACCUGGAACUCGUCCCCAGUUGGCGGUUUCCAGGGAGCCCAGUCUGAGGGAUGUGGCUCCUCCCACACUCUCCUCCAUUUAAAAAGAGCAAGCGUGAGAAUGACAGUGAGCUGGCCUUCUCUGGACAGCUGUGGUCAAGAGGUGUGACCAUGGAGUGUGGACCAUUCAAUUCAGCCCUUAGGUGGAGCACCACAGGUCAGGCCCAUCUGUCACCUCAGGUCACUACGGCAGGUUCUCGGAGAACCGCCACCACCACGCCCCCCUUGCAGCUGAGGAAACUGAGGCACAUGGGGAAGAACCCAACAUGGAAGAGACUGGAGGCUGCAUCUUCUGACUUCACGCCUAGUCCUCAUCUCAUGUAACCAACAGCGGUCUCCACCUGUUUUGUAAGCUUUGAGUAAAAGCCCAAGUUAAACUCAGGGCGAUAUAUGUAUAUUCAAAAAAACUAUAUAUAUGUCUAUGUGUGUCUCUAUUACAUGUGUGUAUAUGUAUGUAGAUAAUAUGCUCUCUACUUGUUUAUUUCAAAAGUUUCAGGUUCUCCCAAACGUCACAUGCCCCUUGGCCUGAGGUCAUGGCUACUUGGGCUAGCCUGGGGUCAUGUGAGGAAGUAGGGAAUUGACCCGGGCGGUUCCUUGGCCUCCACCGUCCUCAACCCAAUUCCUUGCAAUGCCCCAUAAGUUGAUAUUGAAGCUUAUCUUUCUGAUCAGCCAUUCCCCUGGGAUCCAGACAGGUCCUAGGAAAUUUGAGGACACAAUUCCAGCUGGAGGGCUCGUGGCUGAGAACCAUUGAAACGUUCUCCCCGCUUCUUGGGUCCUAUGGCUUUAAAACCUGAGCCAUAAAAAUACCUGGAGCUUGUGGGUCCCUGUCCUGCUUCCUGGCUGCUUUCAGGUGCCGUGCCUUUUGACCCUCUCAACACUGGUGGGAGAGGCAGUAGGAUUCUCCCCAUCGUGCAGAUGGAGAGACUGAGGCCCACAUUGUAAGUGGCAGAGGGGGCUGGGAACAGGCCUGCCUGUUCCUCUUCUCAUCAGACCCUCUGAUGCUGAAUAUUUAGGGUGGCGGCCAGGGGUUAGUUACUCUGGAAGUUUCUGCUCGGGCUAAGGGGUGAGCUGGCCUUGGGGAGCAGGGGGCGUGGGAUCUAGACCCCCUUGCUUGGUGCCCCAGGAGGGGCCCAGGUCAGAGCCCUGGGGGGCCCUUGAAAGAGGCAGUGCUGACAGGCUUCUGGCUGCUGGUGUCCAGGGCCUCGCAGCUGCUGGGGGUUGAGCCUUUUGUUCGGACUCUAAAGAUCCCGAAAAGCUGCUCCCAGCUCUGCUAAUCCCGGAUCCUUUGAUGCUGGUGACAAGCUCCUGGCUUCCCUCAGGCGCCAGGACCUUAGGCUUCUGAGGUUGGACAGGGUUGCUGGGCGUUCCCCAGGGGAUCUGCUCGGGGCUGCAGUCCUCCGUCAACCCCACAACAUGGGCUCGUCUCCCUGUUGUAUGGAGGGGAAGUUGAGGUCCUGAGAAAGGGUGACUGGCCCAAGGUCAUCCAGGUAGGAGGUGAUGACCGGGGAUUUGAACCUGUCUAGAGCUGGCCCCGCUCCUGCUGCACCACACCCCCACAUGGACACGGUGUGCCCCUUGCACAGAGGGGGAGACUGAGGCUCCAUCUCACAUGGAGGUGAGAGCCCUUGCUGACCUGAAUCUGGGUGAAUCUCUCCCAAGUGGUCUGGGCCCCUCACGGCAAGUCUUGGUAGUUUAUUUAUCUAUUGGUGUACAUUGAGGAAGCCACUAGAAACAGGAGGAGAGAGUGAGAGGAAGAGAGGGUGGACAAAAGUCGGGGAGGGGAUUGCUUUCCUGUUUCUUUGGCAGAAAAUAUUCUGUUUUCCAGGGGAAGCACAAAUUCCACACAGGCCCAAAGGCCCACAGUCUGAGGCGGUGCCACGAGCACCAGCUAAGAAAAGCAUCAACAAAUGCCAAGUUUCCAUUUUAUUUCUUUGGGUCCCAAGCUAUUGAGUCUCCAGGCCUAUGGGUCACCUUUACCUCAGCCUCCCAAGUGGAGGGCCCUUCUCUCACCUCCUGGCCCUGCCGUGGUCCGGCCCCAGCACAACUAGCCCCCUCCCACACCCCUCUCGGUCCACCUCCCUGUCCUUUUCCUGCGGCAGCGAGACCCAUCAGCAAGGCUUGGCUCCAUACAGGUCUGGACGCGGGAUUCUAGGCCCCUGACCCAGUUCCUGCCCAGGGCUCAGCGAAUGCCGGGCUCCGCCAUCUGUGCCAGCAGCCUGGGGAGGGGGUGAGGUGGGGCGGGGCUGGUUGAUACGAUCUGAACCUCCCCCAGCUGCUGCCCCUGCCCCUCGAAGCCUUGCCCAGCCCUGAUCUGGGCACCGGGAGAACAAGGACCCUCCCCUUGUCCCUGGGUGGCAGGGGGUUCUAGCUCCGGGCUGCAGAGUCGGAAGACUCAAGCUGGGCACGGGAGCUCCCCCCAGAAGCCCCCGUCACCCAGGCCCGCUGAGGGGCUGGCUGGAAAUCUUUCAAUCGAGAUCACACCAGAAUCAGCUAGCACCUUUCUCCUUUCUGUUUUUUCCCUCUCUUGCCUUUAUUUAAAUCUUUUUCUCUUCUCUGUGCUUGCCCUCUUUUCCCACUCUUUUCCACGCCUCUCGUCUGUGUCCUUUUCUUUAAAAAAUUCAAGCAGGUUAGGGGUCAUUUUACUUCUACAUCUCUAUCGCUUCCCUGAAACGUUUCCCUCAACCAUAAAGCCCUCAACAGCUUCAUUUCUGUUCCUGGGCUUUAAUUAGUCCCAAAGAAGCUGCUGCUGAUGAGAAGUAGAGACACAAACCAGUCCUGUGAUGGCUGCCUCCUCCGGGCAGCCUGACACUCUGCAGCUCAGAAAUGGAGGGACACUGGGCGGGCCCAGAGAUAUUUUUGUGCCUCCUUCGAGAAGAUUCUCUUGGAUCUAGCCUGUCCACAAUAUACGGGCACCUUAUGAUGCCUUGGCCGUGCCAGGACGGGUCCGUUUACCGCUGUGCACGUCCCCCAGGAGGCCGCGGGAGGCCGCUGCUUUGACCGUGGGCACUGGAGGCCAAGAGGCCAGGCCGGAUUCCUCCACCACCUCCCAGCUGUCUGCUUUAGGCCAGAUCCUUACCCUCUAGAACCUCAGUUUCCACAUCUGGAAAAUGGGAGCAACCAUCACCUCUUACUCACGAUGCCCUCGAAAAGAAGCAACAGAGACAUUGCCGCAAGCAGGGGGCUGGUGCCUGGCUCUUAGUAAGUGCUCAGCGAAUGCUCACAGAUAUCCGUUGCGUUAUUAUUCAUCGUAAGAUCAUCAAGGGUGGAUUAUAUGGGGCCCCCACCCCAGGAAGGAGGAGGCGGGCGCCCCCCACGAGGCACUCGUUCCUGGCCUGUUUGUGCAAGAACCGAUGAUGCAAACUUUAACGGUGCCAGGUGCAGGCAGCUGCCAGCUCCUCGAGGAGGCCGUGCUGUAAACAGGCCUGCCACCAGCUGUCAGGACACAUCCAACUGUUUUGGAAGUGACUAGAGCGUCUGCCACUGGCUGCCUCCCUAUGCUCUGCCCCAGGCUUCUGAUGGCAGAGGUCAGGGGCUGCGGCUGGUGUGCUGGCCCCAGCUGGCUCUGGCUGGACCCCUGUGAAGUCCCUCAAUCCCUCCUCACAUACGAGCCUCUCCUUGGUGAGGAGAGCUCUUCCGUCCUGUGCAAGGGGCUCAGCGUCUGCCCUGCCUAGGGCUCCAUCAUUUACUUGUCCUCCCUAAGAGUUGCUACCUUCCUACUCCUCAUUCCGGUCCAUUCCCCUGACGUCCUGAGGAGCUGCCAAGGCCCUGCUUACCCCUCCUCUGCUCAAAAAAAAAAAAAAAAAAAUCGAUCAGAAACUGUUCCAUCAUCUUGCCUGGCCUGGCAGGAGCUGCAUCUUCCCCCAGCUUCCCCUCCAGCUCUCCCCAACUUCUCACCUUCCGGACCCUUUGCCGAGGCUGCACUGCUCUUCCCACUGACACCCCAGACCCACCGUGACAUGACUGCCUUUGCCUGAGCUGCCACUCCACCUGGAGGUCCCUCUCCCCACCCCUCUGCCUGAUGGCAUCCCAUCCAUCCUUUCAAAGGCCGCUGCCUCCUUGACUGUGCCUUCAUGCUCACACUCACACACACACACACACACGAGGUGUUGUCACAUUUCCACAGCCUUAACUUUCACGUGACAUUUCUCAUUCUUUACAUUGAAUCAUAGUUUUGUUUACAAAUUCUAUUUCUUCCCCUAAACCCCAAGGCUUGCAGGUACAUCCCUCGGCCCCUUGGUUGCUGUCGCCCCCACAACACGGCGCCCACAUAGGCACUCCAUAAAUGUCACAUGGAAUUGACGCCCCCAUGCAUGAAAAUAUCUAUCUACUCACUCAACCUAAAAGCAUUUCUGAAAGCCGUUUGUCUGACACAGACAUCGCCCGAGGCCUAUGGCACCAACAAUAGCAUCAUUGAUAACUGCUUUCGCAUUUCCAUUUUUAGAAGUGCACAGCAGCGUGAUAUCCGGAGCAAGAGUCCUCCAGAAGAACGGAUAAAUACAUGCGAACGGCUGAUUCUAUGUCCCCCAAGUCCAAAAUGAAAGUCACCAGCAUGCAGACAGAAUAGCAGAGACGGGGAGACACAAGGAAGGAGUUUGUCUGUAAGAGGUUACGAGGCAGCGCUGCAGAGGUUUCGGUCCCAGUCAGCCAGACCGCCUUUCUCCAGCAGGGAGUUUAUUUCGGGCCCACCGCAUGACCAGCGAUGGCGAGCCAAACUAUAAGAUGUUAUGAGUCUCAGAUUUCCUGUUUGAAGAUUGUACCGAGGAAGCUGCGAUCCUGCCUUCAGAUCCUCUGGGUGCAUCAAUUCCGGACCUCACUUCAGAGAGCAUCUCAGAGCGUGGGCCCUCACGUGACGUCAUCAUUUGUGAUCCUUGGCAUGGAGGCCAUAUAUGGACCAGAAAAACCUCUUGUAGUCGAGGGAGCUGGAGAAACUCACACCAAACCCUGUGGCCUUCUGCCUGCACUCAGCUUUCGGAAACCAAGAGCCCAGACGGUUCUUAAUUCAUCAUAGUUGGGGGUUGCUGCUGCUGCGAGUAAAGGUCUGCAGAGCCUGAGACCGAUAGGUCGGCCUGUGUGUUGACAUCGCGGGUUGCUAACCUACAAAAUGAACAGGUUGGGCUAACUCGGCAGUUCCCAAUCCUAGCUGCACGUUAGCAUCCUACUAAACAUACCUAUGCCUGCCUCUUCCCCAGAGAGGCCCAAACAGCACUGAUUCCUUAAACUUUUUAUUAAAGUGUAAUAGACCCACAGAAA